rnacentral:rRNA from 1 species
ACGGGGCCCGCACAAGCGGUGGAGCAUGUGGUUUAAUUCGAUGCAACGCGAAGAACCUUACCUAGACUUGACAUCCCGGGAAUUCUUAGGAAACUAAGAGGUGCCUUUCGGGGAGCCCGGUGACAGGUGCUGCAUGGCUGUCGUCAGCUCGUGUCGUGAGAUGCUGGGUUAAGUCCCGCAACGAGCGCAACCCCUAUCUUUAAUUGCCAUCAUUCAGUUGGGCACUUUAGAGAGACUGCCGGUGUUAAGCCGGAGGAAGGUGGGGAUGACGUCAAGUCCUCAUGGCCUUUAUGUCUAGGGCUACACACGUGCUACAAUGGGUGGUACAAAGAGCAGCUAACUCGCGAGAGUAUGCAAAUCUCAAAAAGCCAUCCUCAGUUCGGAUUGGAGUCUGCAACUCGACUCCAUGAAGUUGGAAUCGCUAGUAAUCGCGGAUCAGAACAUGCCGCGGUGAAUACGUUCCCGGGCCUU